UUUACGCUAGCAAUGCACCUGCGUCAGGUAAGGUUAGCUCUGGGCUCCUACGCAAUCUCUCCGUCAUCGGGGCGGAUCCAAAACAGUGGGAAGUAGUGCCGCGUUCAAAAGAACUGGGAACUCGGGAAAAAAUACGAUGUUAAAUCAUGACGUCAUUGAUCUUCAGGUCGGAAAAGUCGGAGUUGUAUAGGCCGGAGUUCCAUAGUUGGAAUUUGGUUUGAUGACCGUUCAAAUCGUUUUUUUUCCAGUCGAGCUCGUUUUUUUUUCAGAGUUCCCAGUUGUUUGAAACCCACUGAAGUCGGAAGUCGAAGAUUUCCGAGUUCCGAGCUCACAGUUCUUUUGAACGCGGCAUAGACUAUUGUUUAUUAUCACCUUCCGGAUUCUUAGAAACUUCCCCUGUUACAGACGCGCCAUCGACUUAUCAGUUCAAUGGAGGAACCAUUAUUUUCUGUUUACGGGGAUUUCGUCGACUGGUCUCUCCAAACUGCUUGGGAACAGAAUGACGCCGAGGUGGACAGUGCGUUUGGAGACUGGAGUUCUGCCUGUAAUGGCAACAAGUCGGAUGCAGUUGAAAGAUCUUCAUCUCUGUCUUCACCCAUGGACAUGGACAUCUCUAAACUCUCAACAAAGGUGAGAGUGCACCGAUCUUUUUGAUCAUUCCAAGUUUACUUUACUUAAGAGGAAAUUAUUACCUGUGAAUUGUGAUCUAUAUAGGAGCUGUCUUAAUUGCCAUUUUCCUAAUGUAGGCAAAUAAAUAAACAAUGUACAAAUAUGAUAUAUGUGAUAUAUUUUUCUAUACAGCUGGAGAAUGGCAAUGUGAAGAAAUCAUGUGUAGUUUUCCAGGAGUGCUUCCAGGUCUUGGGUGAAUCUAAAGAGACCAACUGUACUGUACGAUCUCUGUCCCAGCUGCUAGAAAACACACAGCCUUUUCAACCAACAGCUACAAUAUGUGACUGUGGCAGCUUGUGGAGCCAUCUGGUGGCUGAGCCCAGCAGGCUGAGGCUGUCAGAGCCAAAGCCCAGCUUACACUGCCACAGCCACAGCAGAAUGGUUUCUGCCCUCAGAAUCACACCCUCAAAUUGCAUCUCUGACCAGUGGGAGUCUGUCUUUUUGGAAGAUCAUGAAGAAACUACAGAGACCUCUUGCCCCCCUGCUGCUGCUCUCAUCAAAACCAAGCUGCUGGCCCCCUCCUCCUGCCAUGGUGACACCCCAGCUUUCCUCUACCAAAUCUCCCAGCAGUGGCUGACUCAAUGCAGCAUCCAGCUGCAGCCUCAGCACCACAAGAAGCCUCCUGCACUGAACUAUGGAGAAGGAUAAGAUGAAGAUGCUGCUUAGCAUAGCCCUACUGUACUGUUGUAGAUGGAUGAAACGGGUUGGGUUGAUACCCGGGUGAGAACAAAGUAUACACUUUUCGCAACAUUUUAUUUAUACAGAUUGUAAAGAAAGUACAUUCUAUGAUAUUGUGUAUUUAGUUUGCAGGCGUUUUCCUGGUUUUAUAUAUAAUAUUUUGAUACGGAGUGCAGUUACAGUGAUACUAUAAAAUGUUCUAUAAAUGUAUUGAGUUAUUUAUUCAGUGUAACACCUGUUUUAUACCACUAUUGUCAAGAGCAGAGGGAACAAUGCAAAUCUUUGGAAGUCACAGCACUCCACUAGAGGGCAUACUGGCUUCCUCAUAAGUCCCAACCCCCAUUUUGCAAACAUACAGUGCAUUCAGAAAGUAUUCAGACCCCUUGACUUUUUCCACAUCUUGUUACGUUACAGCCUUAUUCUAGAAUUGAUUACACAUUUUGUUUCUCAUCAAUCUACACACACUACCCCAUAAUGACAAAGCGGAAACAGGUUUUUAGAAUUGUUGGCAAAGGUAUUAAAAACAGAAAUACCUUAUUUACUUGUGCCGAAUACAACAUGUGUAAACCUUCAGACCAUGCACCUCAACAAUGAACACCUCAAGAAACAAGCUUUGUCCAUAUAUUUUGUUUUGUAGAAUACCCAACUCCAAGUCUCACUGUAGAAACCUGGCUUGCGAUCUAGGGCAGUGCAUGGACCCAGAAAAAAAGUAAUUGGGUGUGUCUUCCCACUGUGGAUACAUUUUUAUGGAAAUUUGGAUUGCUUGUGCUUUAACUAUUUAUGGCAUCACAUUAUUGGUGUCCUCCACUUCUUAAUAUUUCCUUAGAUUGGUCCUCUGUUUUUCUUAACCUGCCUUAAUACUCAAAACCAUAGACAUGUGUCAUGUCAUUGGCCAUUUUGUAAGUAAGACUGCAGGGCAUCAUGGAGCUAAUCAGCACAAACCAGUAUAACAGAGAGGUUAUUACAUGUGUACAACUGCAUCUCAGACAGUUCUCUUACAUUUCAACCACCAGGAUUUGCUUUUCCAGACAGAGAAAACAAGAGGUUAGUGAAGGUGCACACUCCUCCCAAAUGUCACUUGUUUGGCUGGCGGGUUGAGUCUGUGAAUAGAAUUGAAAUACUGAGAGAAAAACCGUCACCUUUUUACAAGUAGGCCCCUCCUACAUGACAAGUGAUGUAGGCCCUACACUCCCCCCCCCCCUCUCUCUCUCUACUAUCUCCUCUCAGCUAGUGCACUAGCGGGAUGUCAGAGUGAAUUUAGAUUACAUCUCGUUGCAGUGCAGUUGCGGGAAAAAGGCAAAGGGACGGAAGGAAGGAUGAUCUUGGGUUGUAUUGUGCCUUAUAUGUCACACACACAGAGGAAGGCAUUGGUGCAUUGGACCAUCUUUUUUUGGGGUGGGAUGGUCAAAAUAAAUGAAUAAUAAUACAAAUAAUUGACUUUUUUAAGGGAGAUGGCCCUUGGGCCUGUUAAGAUGAUGAUUUUUGUGCAAUUUCUCUAUUGUCAUAUUAAUAUAUUUGAGCAUUUGCCUGAUCAGUGGACAACGUCCAGUCCCCCCUACCAAGAUAGGCCUGCCCGGUUUUCUGAUUGGCUGAUGUGGCGCAAAAUUCACGUUCAAAGUCAAACACACAUCAGCAAAGAGACCUUGCUCUGACUCUCUUGUCAUUAGUCAGACCAGAUCACGGCUCGUAAAAAAAAAACAGAAUGGUAGUACCGAAAAAAGUUAAGAGACCAAAAUAAGGCUUGAGGCUACAGCUGCUUAAUGUAUGAAAUUAACCAACUCAUUUUCUAAAAGAUCUGGUUCGGCUGGUCCAAGUGUUGUGACAGAUGCUGCUACAGAAGACAGUGCAGUCGAGGUAUGGAGAAAACCUACCUACUGUGUUACUCUUUCUCAGUCUUCAUCCAAAUUCCGACAGGUUUUAAUGCGAAUAUUCAAAAAUCAGCAUAACAACUCCAAGGGGUUUCCAUCAAAUGGACUUGUUGCGGAUAAAAGGCUGUGCGUGAUGAUGUAGUGCACAAAAAUAUACCUUUUCCAUUUCAUUUUCAAUUUAACUGAUGAUUUUCUCACAAAAAAAGUAAAUUAUACAGCGAGUGUGCCCACUGGUAUUGGCUCGUGCGCACUAACCAACAGCUUGCAGACACUGUGCAAGUAGGCCAAUAGCCUAUGGAUGAGAUUAUUAUGGACAAGAUUAUUUCUAUUUGUCAAAUGGCAUCGAUUAUCAUGUCACCAGAAUAAGACCCUUUAUGUUUAUUGGAAAGGAGCACAUCACCUUGCACUUUUCACCAUCCUGUGAAGUUCAUAAUUUAUACUGAACAAAAAUAUAAACCCAACAUGUAAAGUGUUGGUCCCAUGUUUCAUGAGCUGAAAUAAAAGAUACCCGAAAUGUUCCAUUCACACUAAAAGUUUCUCUUAUCUUUUGUGCACAAAUUUGUUUACAUCUGUUAGUGAGCAUUUCUCCUUCUCAUUCUCUCCAAGAUAAUCCAUCUACUUGACAGGUGUGGCAUAUCAAGAAACUGAUUAAACAUAAAAGGCCACUAUUAUGUGCAGUUUUGCAACACAACACAAUGCCACAGAUGUCUCAAGUUUUGAGGGAGCGUUCAAUUGGCAUGCUGACUGCAGGAAUAUCCACCAGAACUGUUGCCAGAAAAUGUAAUGUUAAUUUCUCUACCAUACGGCGUUUUAGAGAAUUUGGCAGUACGUCCAACCGACCUCACAACCACAGAACACGUGUAUGGCAUCAUGUGGGUGAGCGGUUUGCUGAUGUCAACAUUGUGAACAGAGUGCCCCAUGGUGGCGGUGGGGUUAUGCUAUGGGCAGGCAUAUGCUACAGACAACAAACACAAUUGCACUUUAUCGAUAGCAAUUUGAAUGCACAGAGAUACCGUGAUGAAAAUCUGAGGCCCAUUUUUUUCAGUAAUCUGUGACCAACAUAUCUGUAUUCCCAGUCAUGUGAAAUCUAUAGAUUAGGGCCAUAUGCAUUUAUUUAAAUUGUCUAUGUUCCUUAUGAACUGUAACUCAGUAAAAUCAUUGAAAUUGUU
ensembl:lncRNA